AUUCCCGUAGGUCACCCCAAUUCAAUAGCUCAAUUAGCUUAUAUGGUUAAAGCGCGUGUCUGAAAAACAUGAGAACA
rnacentral:tRNA from 1 species